GUGCUUGCUUUGGCAGCAUGUAUACUAAAACUGGAACGAUACAGAGAAAAGAUUAGCAUGGCCCCUGUGUAAAUUCCUGAUGCAUUCUAUACUUUU
rnacentral:snRNA from 1 species